CGUAAUCGUCGUGCAAGCAGCGGGGGGUAGUGUGAGGGGGUAAGCGGUGAUGGGAAGGACUGGGCGGAAAGGGGUCGUAGGUGGUUCGUUAAGUCGUGCGUGAAAUCCCCGGGCUCAACCUGGGAAUGGCGUUGGAUGCUGGCGAGUUAGAGUGUGUCAGAGGAUGGUGGAAUUCCCGGUGUAGCGGUGAAAUGCGUAGAGAUCGGGAGGAACAUCAGUGGCGAAGGCGGCCAUCUGGGACAACACUGACGCUGAAGCACGAAAGCGUGGGGAGCAAACAGGAUUAGAACCCGUGUAGUC
rnacentral:rRNA from 1 species